UUGCAGGGAAAAGCUGGGGUGGAGAACACAAGGUCUUGUCGUUGCGAGUGCCCUGCUCUAAUAAGGCUGCUAUGAGCGGAGGACAAUGGGUGGUACAUAGCAGAGCAUAGAGACAAUCACAACCACUCGUUGUGGCCUAAUUUCGGUGAGACAGUACACUGGGCCUCAAACAAGCACAUAGAUGUGUACACUAGGGAUAUAGUGAAGCAGUUAAGGCAGAACAAUGUCAACUUAGCAAAGGUGUACGGCAUCACCGGAGGCUACUUUGGAUCAAUGGAAAAUGUUCCGUUCAUGAAGAGGUCGUUGCGUAACCUGUGUGGGAAGAUAAAUAGAGACAAUGCAGAAGAUGAUGUGAAAAAAACAAUGGAUGUGUUCGCAGAGAUUGGGGCUAAAGAUCCACACUUCAUGUAUAGGGUCCAGUCUGACAAUGAGGGCAGGAUUAAGAAUCUGAUGUGGGCUAGUGGGAGUAGCAGGCUGCAAUAUUCAUUUUUUGGUGAUGUUAUAACAUUUGACAUGACUUACCGGACUAAUCUGUACGACAUGCCUUUCGGCCUUUUUGUAGGGGUAAACAAUCAUUUUCAGAGUGUGAUCCUGGCAGGUGUGCUCGUGCGAGAUGAAACGGAAGAUAGUUUUGAGUGGGUUUUCUCAGAAUUCCUUAGAAUGAUGGGCGGGUCUCCACGGUGA
rnacentral:rRNA from 1 species